rnacentral:rRNA from 1 species
CGGUCGACCGGCGCACGGGUGAGUAACGCGUAUCCAACCUGCCCACCACUUGGGGAUAACCUUGCGAAAGUAAGACUAAUACCCAAUGAUAUCUCUAGAAGACAUUUGAAAGAGAUUAAAGAUUUAUCGGUGAUGGAUGGGGAUGCGUCUGAUUAGCUUGUUGGCGGGGUAACGGCCCACCAAGGCAACGAUCAGUAGGGGUUCUGAGAGGAAGGUCCCCCACAUUGGAACUGAGACACGGUCCAA